AUCCAGUUAACGAGUCCCAAAUGGGACAAAACGCGCGUUUUGGAU
rfam:Schistosoma mattheei strain Denwood, Zambia genome assembly, scaffold: SMTD_scaffold0004704